UUCUUUAUCUUCUUCUUCUUCAUCUUCUUAGA
rnacentral:sRNA from 1 species